rnacentral:rRNA from 1 species
GAUGAACGCUGGCGGCGUGCUUAACACAUGCAAGUCGAACGAAGCACUUUAACCUGAUUCUUCGGAUGAAGGUUUUUGUGACUGAGUGGCGGACGGGUGAGUAACGCGUGGGUAACCUGCCUCAUACAGGGGGAUAACAGUUAGAAAUGACUGCUAAUACCGCAUAAGACCACAGAGCCGCAUGGCUCGGUGGGAAAAACUCCGGUGGUAUGAGAUGGACCCGCGUCUGAUUAGGUAGUUGGUGGGGUAACGGCCUACCAAGCCAACGAUCAGUAGCCGACCUGAGAGGGUGACCGGCCACAUUGGGACUGAGACACGGCCCAAACUCCUACGGGAGGCAGCAGUGGGGAAUAUUGCACAAUGGGGGAAACCCUGAUGCAGCGACGCCGCGUGAGCGAAGAAGUAUUUCGGUAUGUAAAGCUCUAUCAGCAGGGAAGAAAAUGACGGUACCUGACUAAGAAGCACCGGCUAAAUACGUGCCAGCAGCCGCGGUAAUACGUAUGGUGCAAGCGUUAUCCGGAUUUACUGGGUGUAAAGGGAGCGUAGACGGCUGUGUAAGUCUGAAGUGAAAGCCCGGGGCUCAACCCCGGGACUGCUUUGGAAACUAUGCAGCUAGAGUGUCGGAGAGGUAAGUGGAAUUCCCAGUGUAGCGGUGAAAUGCGUAGAUAUUGGGAGGAACACCAGUGGCGAAGGCGGCUUACUGG